UCCCUGGUGGCUCAGACAGUAAAGCAUCUGCCUACCAUGCAGAAGACCUGGGUUCUGUUCCUGGGUUGGGAA
rnacentral:tRNA from 1 species